CGCGUAGGCGGCCUUGCGUGUCUUCCGUGAAAUCCCUCGGCUUAACUGAGGACGUGCGGAAGAAACUGCAGGGCUGGAGUCCGGGAGAGGGGGGUGGAAUUCCCAGUGUAGCGGUGAAAUGCGUAGAUAUUGGGAGGAACACCGGUGGCGAAGGCGGCCCCCUGGACCGGUACUGACGCUGAUGCGCGAAAGCGUGGGGAGCAAACG
rnacentral:rRNA from 1 species